GACCUGUUCAUGCAAAAAAUGAAUGCCUUCCCAACCCCUCCUACAAUUCUCUUUCAAUUUCAAUCACUUGACCAACUUUAAAGCAAUGUUUUAACAAGUAUGGCCAACUUUCAAAUUUUACACAAAUAACUAUUAUUAUGGCAGACAUGGUCCAAAGGCUAGAAGAGUAAUGAAGUUCAAAGGGAGGAAGGACAGAGUGGAGACAGCAAAGAGUUUGCACAGACUCUUCAUCCCUUAGGGAAGGUGACUAACACCGAGUAGGACACGAGCACUGUCAAAAAGACUGUCUCUAAACUCCUACAUAUGAGAUCAGCUUUUAGAGGAAAAGAAUAUUGCACAUUGAGCCCAAAACUGUAAAAGAAAAAUAAAAAGAAAGUCACAAGUUAAACAUUUAGAAACCUCUCCUAUAACAUUUGAAUAGGAAAUUUCUGAAAAAUCUACACCAACGGUCCCAUUGGUCAGCCUCUCAUUAUAAUUACCCAGUUACUUAAUCGUCUAUCACAAAAUUAUUUAUUCAUUCGUUCAACCUACUUCUGAGUGACUUCGUGACAUCCGCAUGUUUCCGGUUCUCAUGGGACAAUUCAUUGGUGGAGAAGAUGUUCCUGUUUGUCCGCGUGACGCCUUUUCACUCAACCAUGCAUUUCCUUAAAGUUUUACCAGAGACGACUGUUAUUUAUGAACGACUGGAUUUUGUUCUCUGCAAAAUAAAACAUUGCUAAUCUGACCCAA